rnacentral:rRNA from 1 species
UGAGGGAAUAUUGGGUCAAUGGACGGGAGUCUGAACCAGCCAAGUAGCGUGCAGGAUGACGGCCCUAUGGGUUGUAAACUGCUUUUGUGCGGGGAUAAAGUGUGGGACGUGUCCCAUAUUGCAGGUACCGCAUGAAUAAGGACCGGCUAAUUCCGUGCCAGCAGCCGCGGUAAUACGGAAGGUCCAGGCGUUAUCCGGAUUUAUUGGGUUUAAAGGGAGCGCAGGCGGACUUUUAAGUCAGCUGUUAAAUUCGGUGGCUCAACCAUCGCAUGCAGUUGAAACUGGAGGUCUUGAGUGUACACAGGGAUGCUGGAAUUCAUGGUGUAGCGGUGAAAUGCUCAGAUAUCAUGAAGAACUCCAAUCGCGAAGGCAGGCAUCCGGGGUACAACUGACGCUGAGGCUCGAAAGUGCGGGUAUCAAACAGGAUUA